GCGUUCCCUUGGCUUCCCAGAUGCCAUCUGACCAACAUCUCCAGGAGGGCUGCCCUGCGUGGCAGGAGGAGACAGAGGAGAGCCCGUGACCAUCGGGCAGGUAGAAUUCCUCUGUUUGUAAAUAUGUUUAUAGAUUUCUAUGGUUUUAUUUAUCAAAGUGUAUAGUUCUAUUUAUAAGUUAGAGUGUUCUGUUUAUAUGUGCAUAUAUUGAUAGAUCUGUAGAGUUAAAUGGGGAUAUGUAUUCAGUUAGAGAAGUGAUAGAUUUUAUUAUAAAUUUACACUUAGAGAUUUUCAGUGUUAAAUUUUUUUUUGUGUAGUGUCCAAAAAAAAAAUAUAGAUGAAGUUUCAUUUAUAAAUGCGUAUAGUUACAUAGUAGGAGGAAUAUGAAUGCUUAGAUGGAUAGAUUGCUGUUUGUGUAGGCCUAGGCUGCAUUUUUAGCUCUUUGCCCCCUCGGCUGCCUUUCUCACCUCUUGCUUUUCCCCCUGUGCCCCCUGUGUCCCCUCUCCCUGUGCUGGGUCCGAGCUGGCGGCCAGGCCGGCCAGAGCAGCACUUCCAGCCCCGGCCGUCCCUGGAGCGGUGGGAGCUGCCGCUGGCCCCAGGCACUGUCCCCUGAGGAGCUGCUGAAGGACGCUGCAAGGAAGACCUCGAUGACAGCCAGAGACUGACAGGAGCCAGCAGAGAGAAGCUGAAGGCCAGCAGCAGGAGCAGUGAACGGGGACCUGCUGCUGCCAGCCUGGAGAGAGCUCGGAUGUCCCAUCUGCUGUCCCUGUCCAGGAGAGCUGCUCUGCACGGGAGGAGGAGACCAAGGGAGAGGCUUUGAAGAUGGGGCAGCUGGGAUCCCUCUGCUUGGAGCUCUGUGUAGACAUGUCUAGAAUUGCACAUAGAGAUGGAUUAUCAUUUGGAUAUGUACCUAUGGGGCUUGCUAUUUGUAUAGGAAUAUUUCUGUAUGUAUGGUGUUUAGUGAUGUAUGCUGUGUAUAUAUGUAUACAUACAGAUAUGUUUGUAAUUACAUAUAUGUAUGUGUGUAUAUAUCAAUAUAUAAGUACACAUGGCUGUUGUUAUAUCUUUGUGUUUAGUUCUGUUUCCUAUGUAUACAGUUGUGUUGCUGUUUAUUUCUGUUAAUGCAGGUAUAGGCAUA